GUUUUGCCAUUGCCAGCUCAACCUGAAUGUUCUGAGAAAGUGGAAUGGAAAACAUAAAUGUAGUUUUUACUGAAGUCAGAUUUGCAAAUAGAUGCAACUCAACCCAUAGUUUGCAUUUAACAUUUGAACACAUAAGAGCUUAAAAUAAUUUUUGUUGCAGUGGAGCAUCUGUUAAAUAAUCAGAGCUUGAAUUAAUAGGGAUCUGAAAACAGUUACCUGAAGGUUACAAACUAAUUAGUAUAAUAAUAAUAAUACUAAAGUAGUCCUUCCAUAACCUAAAUUGCAGUUUUCAUGGUAAACACGCAUUAUUUUAAAGGACCUCAAAAUCUUUGUUUGGAGAAAUAAAAGGAGUCAAGGGGAAAUGUAAAGUUCAAGAAAUUACACUGAACUGACCAAGGAUUAACAAAUAAUUUAUAUCUAUCUAUGUAUACUUGAAAUAGCCUUCCAUUUGGGGUUUUAGCUUUUUUGUCUCACAUCAGGUCAAAAAGUGGUGUUUUCGCUCUUCAUAUCCGUACAGUGAAAUCUCCUUGGAAACAAAUGCAGCAGUUUAAUUGAAGAAGGUUCAUUAUAACUGAAGUAAGUUGUUAAUGUUGUGGAUGAUAUUGAGAGAGACCAGCUUGCUUCCUUUGACUUCACUGCCUGCUAUGAACACGUUUGUGCCUUCAUUAAGGUCUUCCUCUACAAGAUGGGCUUGAGCUCUGAAUUUUUAGCAUUGCAGCGCUGAUCUCCAGGAGUGAAGCUACAGAGGUAACUCCAACUGGGCAGGACAAGACAACUACAGCUCAGAGAUGGGGGAUGCUGAGUUAUGAGCUGUUUGAUCAAGGAAGAGUAGCUGGGAUAGCUAGUUGAUUCUUCCUUGUAUUGUACAAAUAAGUGCGGUCUCUUCUCUCGAGGUCUCCCAGCACAGACCUUGGUCUAACAGCUUUGUGUACCAUCAUUAUUCUUUGACUUGCUACCAAAAAGAGGACCCUCAGAAUUAAAAGGGAAAGAAUAAUUUUUCUUCGUGUUAUCUGACUGCCAAACAAUAAAGGCAGCUUUCUCUGGCUAACUGACUUCCA
rnacentral:lncRNA from 1 species